CUAGCGGCGUGUGACGUACGUGUGGUCAGUAAGCGCGUGGUACAGAGACUGGACCGUUGGCGGGCCGGGAUGGACCUAUCAUAUAUCGGUUAAGAUGACUGCUUUGGAGCUUGCCAAUUUAAAGACCUGUUCAUCAUUUUGUGUUUGGCAUGACUGACAACAAUAGGAAUUUAUCUUCUUAGGAAUGGGACGUCAUACUAAAAAAGAAAAAGCAGAAGAAAGGAAGAGAAAGAGGAAGGUACGAAGGAGUCAUGCUAAUGUAUUGACAACAGCAGAUACAAAGUGUGAAGUAACCAGGCCAGCAAGUCCCUUCAGUGUAAGUGAUCAGGACAGUACAUGUCCA
rnacentral:lncRNA from 1 species